UCUACCAAAAAGAAAAGGGGCAAAAAACUGCGCAUAGCAGGAGGAUUAAGAACCAAAAAAUAUAGAUCCCUCCCCCAUCGAGCUUCUUCUUCUUGAACGAGAGAGAAGAGAGCCACUGCUCAUCUGCUUCUUCUUCAAGACCGAUUAUCGCAACAGGCCACUUUAAGCUUGCCGGAGAAGACUCGCCGUCGACCCCACCCCCUCGUCUUCGUCUUCUUCACGAGGACCUAAGCUAGGCGCUGAUUUUCAUACAAGACCCUCCCUCAGCGAAUUUGAUCUCCUUCCUCAGCCAAAAUGAUAGAACUCCCCAUGGCUGUUUCUUCUUCUUCGAUGAAACAAAACUACAGCCAUCAACGACCACCUAGAUCCGGCUGAACUCCAGUCAUCUUCCUCACCAUAAAAUCCAGCUGAAGACCCCUUGAACCCCUUUUGUCUGUUUUCGAGCUCGUCGCCGAUCGAGAUUGUUCGACGUCGAUUCUGAUUCGAGCCCUGCUGCUACUCGAGGUUAGAGUUCGAGUUUCCGCUCAAGGUCGUCGAGGUCCGGACUAUUGAGCUCAUCAAUCACAGCUUUGGCUUGGAGUUUUAUUUUUCUACCCGUUGUUUCAAAAACACAUUGCAGUUAUAAAGUUAGGUGCUACCCAGGGCAACUCAAACAAGGCCUCCAGAACGGAGCGAAGCAAAGCCAGCAAACGAAGGCACGAACCAACCUCCCCUUACAAAACUUAAAAUUUUUCUUUGGAUGCAGUCAUGGUGAACAUAACAGAAGCAUUCGCAAACAUACACAUACCAAAGUCCUAACGAUCAGGUAUAUGUUGAUGAUGUUGCCCAUAGUGGUCGAGACGAUA